UACGUAGGGUGCGAGCGUUAAUCGGAAUUACUGGGCGUAAAGCGUGCGCAGGCGGUUUUGUAAGCCAGAUGUGAAAUCCCCGGGCUUAACCUGGGAAUGGCAUUUGGGACUGCAAGGCUUGAGUUUGGCAGAGGAGACUGGAAUUCCUGGUGUAGCAGUGAAAUGCGUAGAUAUCAGGAGGAACACCGGUGGCGAAGGCGGGUCUCUGGGCCGAUACUGACGCUGAGGAGCGAAGGCGUGGGGAGCGAACAGG
rnacentral:rRNA from 1 species